rnacentral:rRNA from 1 species
CGCGUAGGCGGCUUUAUAAGUCAGAUGUGAAAGUCCAUGGCUCAACUGUGGAAGUGCAUUUGAAACUGUGAAGCUUGAGUAUCGGAGGGGAGUGUGGAAUUCCCGGUGUAGAGGUGAAAUUCGUAGAGAUCGGGAGGAACACCGGUGGCGAAGGCGACACUCUGGACGGAUACUGACGCUGAGGCGCGAAAGCGUGGGGAGCAAACA